CUCGGCCCCCGCUUCCGCCGCCGCUCCCUCUCCGGCAUCUUCGGGAGCCUCGGGGUCUCCGGGCUCUCCGGUUAGUGACAUCGCCUCAGGCUGGGUUUCUGCAAAGGACAAGAUCCACACAGAAAGAUCAGGGCGUCGGAGCCCGGGGCUGUGGGAAGGAGGGGGUGAGGGACAGCCUCUGCGGGGUGACCGGACCGCUCCCCUCGCCCGGGGACCUUGGUCUCUGGGGCUCGACGCCGGCGCCUGUCCCAAUGGGCACGGACCUUGCGACACUUCCCGCUCUUCGUCGACGCCCAGGCUGAGGAAGCCGGUGCCCUCGUCCUGGUCUGGGCCCGGAGGCUCCAUAUCCCUGUUGCCGUUUGGCACAGAUUCCCCGUCAGACCCCGCGGGCUCCAUGGGGGACGCAGAGAGCGGUGGCCUGCCGACCGGCUUCCGCCAAACGGUCCUGGCGUUGUCAGGUUCCGGGAAGUCUGAGUAGCCGCCCUCCCUAUAUAUACCCCCCACCCCCCGCUGCGGCGGGGGUGGGGGGGUGCUCGCCGAGGUGCGCAUGCGGCUCGGGCUCGGGCCCCAAGCCUGCCUGUGCACUUGCGAGGGUACUCCCGGAGGGAGCACUUGGCCUAGGGCAUCCGAGCCGUCGCGGCCUAGCUAGAGAGGCUGAGUCUUCCAGUCGGCGCUGGGCUCACACGCCCCAGACUGGGGGCCUGUGCCCCCCAGGGAAAGUCGCCGCGCUGGAUCGUGCCAGCCCGUGUGGGCAGGGGAAGACGCAGAGCCCACCCUAGCUCUGGAGACCCCACCGAGGGCUUGGGAGAAGGUCCCUGGCCAGCCCUGCGAAUCCAGCAGCCGCCACUAGGCAGGAAAUAGUCAUCCGAGGACUGUGAUGGGCUCUGAGGUGGCACAGUCUGAGGCUUUUCGGGGAGACGACCCAAGUCAGAGCCCGCCACACCCCCGGCUCCCCGGGAACGGGAGCUGGUGCUGGGGUCUUCUGAGCGUGUCUGGUGCCCAGAUGCACCGUGCAGAUGAAACCAUGCUUGCCCCUUCACAGGGGCCUGGGCCUCCGGGAUUUUAGUCCCGAAGCCACACUUCAUGUCGGGGCUGCGAACCUGCACGGGGCUUAGCGCCUUCCAAGUCGGCUCAAACUGGACAGCCCUCCCACGGGUUGGGGUUUUGUUCAGUUUUCCUCGUUCAAACGUUGCUCUUCUCAUCGCCACCAUGGAUGCCAAAACCCCUUCGGGCACAGCGUCUAUACCUCCGCCUCGAGACUUCUCUCUACAAGCAUGCAUGUUCCUUAUGGUGGGACCCUUUGGAUCUGGGUCAUUACCCACUUCCUGGCCUUUGCCCCCCCCCCCGCCCGCCCCGACACUCUCCUCCCCUGGGUUUUCCAUGAAAUAUCUUCCUGAGCCCUUGUUGAGGAAUAGAUGAAUUUUAUUUCUUGCUUGUUGUUUUUCUUUUCCGUUCUUGUUUUUGUUUCUUCUAGCGAGGAUACAUCCUUAUUGGUUGGAGAGUUGAGUUGAGCAAGUUUUUGGUUUCUCCAGAAGUGAAUUUUACAUCCAAAGAAGAAAACCCUAAGCAUAUACUGAGCUCAACCUGAUGGUAGGCAUGAUUUUUUUUUUUUUUUCAAAUGAAAGAGAGCAGGCCCGAUUGAGGGCUCUGUGGUUUUCCCUUCUGGAACUGUUUUAUAGAUGCUCCAACACCUAUUACUAUCCUAACUAUUGGAAAUAGCUCCUAGGCCCGGGUCCUGUGCUGGACAAUGUCCCUGAAGGACCCCGCGAUCACCGCACAGCCGAGCUCACCACUCUAGUUGAAAUCCGAAGCUACAGCAUUCCCACGGGCUCCCGAGGGCAUCGUGGGCCCAAGGUACCUCAGCCACCGCGCCUGAGGGGGGAGAAGUGCCCCUGCCUCGUGGUCCUGGAGGAUGGCUCAGACACCCACCGCAGGCGCCAUGAGAGCAGAGAGCCGCUGGUUCGUCGCCGGCGGUCGGUCGGCAACGAGGACAGAUCGUGAUCUUGUGACCUAAGGUCUCUAGCCUUACCUGUCCCGUGGGGCUCUGUUUCGGUUUCUUGUUUUCUUGUUUUAUUUUUCUUAAAGAAUCUGUCUACCCAGUGUGGGGCUGGGACCCCUGACUCCAAGAUCAAGAGCCACGGGCUCCCCCACCUGAGCCAGCCAGGCUUCCCCCACCGUGUCCCUUGGUACCUACACGGGCUUCAGGCAGUAAACCUGUGUUGGCCGCUGUGUUUCCAGGGCCCUCUGCCAGGCAGUGCGGGGAAGGAGUCCCGUCCAGACCCAGCCGUCCUGGCGCCCUGGUUCUCCCAGCCCACGGGAGAGACAGAAGCUGGAAGUGAUGGAGUCCCAGCAGCACUAACGCGCUCUGCGA